UACGUAGGGCGCAAGCGUUGUCCGGAAUUAUUGGGCGUAAAGAGCUCGUAGGCGGCCAGUUGCGUCUGCUGUGAAAUCCCGGGGCUCAACCCCGGGCGUGCAGUGGAUACGGGCUGGCUAGAGGCAGGCAGGGGAGAACGGAAUUCCCGGUGUAGCGGUGAAAUGCGCAGAUAUCAGGAGGAACACCGGUGGUGAAGGCGGGUCUCUGGGCCGAUAUUGACGCUGAGGAGCGAAAGCGUGGGGAGCGAACAGG
rnacentral:rRNA from 1 species